AGAGUUUGAUCCUGGCUCAGAACGAACGUUAGCGGCGCGCUUAACACAUGCAAGUCGCACGAGAAAGGGCUUCGGCCCCGGUAAAGUGGCGCACGGGUGAGUAACACGUGGGUAACCUUCCCUCUUGCGGGGGAUAACCUUCCGAAAGGAGGGCUAAUACCGCAUAAGACCACGGGCUGUGAUGCCUGAGGUUAAAGCAG
rnacentral:rRNA from 1 species